UGUCAGUUUGUCAAAUACCC
rnacentral:ncRNA from 2 species